rnacentral:snRNA from 1 species
GUCCUCACGUCAGCAGCACAUAUUCUAAAAUUGGAACGAUACAGAGAAGAUUAACAU